rnacentral:rRNA from 1 species
AGUGAACGCUGGCGGUAGGCCUAACACAUGCAAGUCGAACGGCAGCACAGUAAGAGCUUGCUCUUACGGGUGGCGAGUGGCGGACGGGUGAGGAAUACAUCGGAAUCUACUUUUUCGUGGGGGAUAACGUAGGGAAACUUACGCUAAUACCGCAUACGACCUACGGGUGAAAGCAGGGGAUCUUCGGACCUUGCGCGAUUGAAUGAGCCGAUGUCGGAUUAGCUAGUUGGCGGGGUAAAGGCCCACCAAGGCGACGAUCCGUAGCUGGUCUGAGAGGAUGAUCAGCCACACUGGAACUGAGACACGGUCCAGACUCCUACGGGAAGCAGCAGUGGGGAAUAUUGGACAAUGGGCGCAAGCCUGAUCCAGCCAUACCGCGUGGGUGAAGAAGGCCUUCGGGUUGUAAAGCCCUUUUGUUGGGAAAGAAAAGCAGCGGGUUAAUACCCCGCUGUUCUGACGGUACCCAAAGAAUAAGCACCGGCUAACUUCGUG